AUGGAAAGUUCACAAGAAACGAAAGUCUCAACAGAAAUAACGUGGAAAAUUUCUGGAAUGCAAAUUAUUUUAAUCUUAAUCUUCAGUUCCACCAUCAUCAUCAGUAUCAUCCUAUAUGCCACAUUUAAAUGUGGUCCACUAUGUCAGAAGGCUUCCACGAACUCCAAAAUCUGAGAAAGACGAGAAAAAAACUUGUCAAAAAUAAAGACGACAGUUACAGCCAUUUUUAAAGCAAUAUUCUGCGAAACAUGUUUUACAAAGAACUCUUGAAAAAUAGAGGGGUCUUACUACAUCUUCAGUAGCGCCCUAAAUAUCCGGGACAAAUAUGCAUUCAAAGUGGACAGCAUUGGUAUUUGGUGGUAAACCUUCGAGACACAGUCA
rnacentral:sRNA from 1 species